rnacentral:rRNA from 1 species
UACGUAGGGGGCAAGCGUUGUCCGGAUUUAUUGGGCGUAAAGAGCGUGUAGGCGGCUUUACAGGUCCGUUGUGAAAACUCGAGGCUCAACCUCGAGACGCCGGUGGAAACCGUAAGGCUAGAGUCCGGAAGAGGAGAGUGGAAUUCCUGGUGUAGCGGUGAAAUGCGCAGAUAUCAGGAGGAACACCUAUUGCGAAGGCAGCUCGCUGGGACGUAACUGACGCUGAGACGCGAAAGCGUGGGGAGCAAACAGG